GGUUAAUUACCCCCCCUUGGGCUAAUUGCCCCCCAUAGGGUUAAUUACCCCCCCUUGGGCUAAUUGCCCCCCAUAGGGUUAAUUACCCCCCCCUUGGGCUAAUUGCCCCCCCAUAGGGUUAAUUACCCCCCUUGGGCUAAUUGCCCCCCAUAGGGUUAAUUACCCCCUCCCUUGGGCUAAUUGCCCCCCAUAGGGUUAUUAUUCCCCCUAUCAGGGUUAAUGACCCCCUCCUCGGGCUAAUUACCCCCCUAUUGGGCUAAUUGCCCCCCAUAGGGUUAAUUACCCCCCCCCUUGGGCUAAUUGCCCCCCCAUAGGGUUAUUAUUCCCCUAUCAGGGUUAAUUACCCCUCCUCGGGCUAAUUACCCCCUAUUGGGCUAAUUGUCCCCCAUAGGGUUAAUUACCCCCCCCCCUUUGGCUAAUUGCCCCCCCCAUAGAGUUAU
rnacentral:lncRNA from 7 species